rnacentral:pre_miRNA from 14 species
GGCCUGCACAUUCUCGCUGGCUGUUCCUUUUUCCUAUGCAUAUACUUCUUUGUGGAUCUGGUCUAAAGAGGUAUAGCGCAUGGGAAAAUGGAGCAGUGAGAUCUUCCCCACCCAAACA